rnacentral:rRNA from 1 species
AGGGUUUGAUUCUGGCUCAGGACGAACGCUGGCGGCGUGCUUAACACAUGCAAGUCGAACGGGGUGUUUAUUUCGGUAAACACCAAGUGGCGAACGGGUGAGUAACGCGUAAGCAAUCUACCUUCAAGAUGGGGACAACACUUCGAAAGGGGUGCUAAUACCGAAUGAAUGUAAGAGUAUCGCAUGAGACACUUACUAAAGGAGGCCUCUGAAAAUGCUUCCGCUUGAAGAUGAGCUUGCGUCUGAUUAGCUAGUUGGUGAGGGUAAAGGCCCACCAAGGCGACGAUCAGUAGCCGGUCUGAGAGGAUGAACGGCCACAUUGGGACUGAGACACGGCCCAG